AUUAUACCAAUUUGUAAGUCGCUCUGGAUAAGAGCGUCCGCUAAAUGACUUAAA
rfam:Salmo salar isolate Sally breed double haploid chromosome ssa04, whole genome shotgun sequence.